rnacentral:rRNA from 1 species
UGCAGUCGAGCGGUAUACAGAUAGCUUGCUCUCGGGUGACGAGCGGCGGACGGGUGAGUAACGCGUAGGAAUCUACCGAGUAGUGGGGGAUAGCCCGGGGAAACCCGGAUUAAUACCGCAUACGCCCUAAGGGGGAAAGUGGGGGAUCUUCGGACCUCACGCUAUUUGAUGAGCCUGCGUAGGAUUAGCUAGUUGGUAGGGUAAAGGCCUACCAAGGCGACGAUCCUUAGCUGGUCUGAGAGGAUGACCAGUCACACUGGGACUGAGACACGGCCCAGACUCCUACGGGAGGCAGCAGUGGGGAAUAUUGGACAAUGGGGGCAACCCUGAUCCAGCCAUGCCGCGUGUGUGAAGAAGGCCUUCGGGUUGUAAAGCACUUUCAGUGGUGAGGAAAGGUGUGUGGUUAAUACCCGCAUACUGUGACGUUAGCCACAGAAGAAGCACCGGCUAACUCCGUGCCAGCAGCCGCGGUAAUACGGAGGGUGCGAGCGUUAAUCGGAAUAACUGGGCGUAAAGCGCGCGUAGGUGGUUGAGUCAGUCAGAUGUGAAAGCCCCGGGCUUAACCUGGGAACUGCACCUGAUACUGCUUGACUAGAGUA